UGGGGAAUAUUGCACAAUGGGCGCAAGCCUGAUGCAGCGACGCCGCGUGAAGGAUGAAGUAUUUCGGUAUGUAAACUUCUAUCAGCAGGGAAGAAAAUGACGGUACCUGACUAAGAAGCCCCGGCUAACUACGUGCCAGCAGCCGCGGUAAUACGUAGGGGGCAAGCGUUAUCCGGAUUUAUUGGGUUUAAAGGGUGCGCAGGCGGCGUGCCAAGUCAGCGGUCAAAGUUCCGGGCUCAAACCCGGUGAUGCCGUUGAAACUGGUGUGCUUGAGUGCGUGCGAGGGAGGCGGAAUGCGUUGUGUAGCGGUGAAAUGCAUAGAUAUGACGCAGAACUCCGAUUGCGAAGGCAGCUUUCCAGCACGCCACUGACGCUGAGGCACGAAAGCGUGGGAAUCGAACAGGAUUAGAUACCCUGGUAGU
rnacentral:rRNA from 1 species